GGUCUCGCUGAUCCCUCCCUCUUGACGAACUGUGAUGCCAUUAAUUUGGUGUCGCAGGGAAUCAGGACUGUUACUUUGAAAAAAUUAGAGUGUUUAAAGCAGGCUUUCGCUUGAAUACAUUAGCAUGGAAUAAUGAAAUAGGACGUUUGAUCCUAUUUUGUUGGUUUCUAGGAUUGACGUAAUGAUUAAUAGGGAUAGUUGGGGGCAUUAGUAUUCAAUUGUCAGAGGUGAAAUUCUUGGAUUUAUUGAAGACUAACUACUGCGAAAGCAUUUGCCAAGGAUGUUUUCAUUAAUCAAGAACGAAAGUUAGGGGAUCGAAGACGAUCAGAUACCGUCGUAGUCUUAACCAUAAACUAUGCCGACUAGGGAUCGGAUGAUGUUAAUUUUUUUAAUGACUCAUUCGGCGCCUUACG
rnacentral:rRNA from 1 species